GGUCAAGUGAAGAAGCGCAUACGGUGGAUGCCUUGGCAGUCAGAGGCGAUGAAAGACGUGGUAGCCUGCGAAAAGCUUCGGGGAGUCGGCAAACAGACUUUGAUCCGGAGAUGUCUGAAUGGGGGAACCCAGCCAUCAUAAGAUGGUUAUCUUACGCUGAAUACAUAGGCGUAAGAGGCGAACCAGGGGAACUGAAACAUCUAAGUACCCUGAGGAAAAGAAAUCAACCGAGAUUCCCUUAGUAGUGGCGAGCGAACGGGGACUAGCCCUUAAGUGGCUUUGAGAUUAGCGGAACGCUCUGGAAAGUGCGGCCAUAGUGGGUGAUAGCCCUGUACGCGAAAAUCUCUUAGUCAUGAAAUCGAGUAGGACGGAGCACGAGAAACUUUGUCUGAAUAUGGGGGGGGGGACCAUCCUCCAAGGCUAAAUACUACUGACUGACCGAUAGUGAACUAGUACCGUGAGGGAAAGGCGAAAAGAACCCCGGAGAGGGGAGUGAAAUAGAUCCUGAAACCGUAUGCGUACAAGCAGUGGGAGCCCACUUUGUUGGGUGACUGCGUACCUUUUGUAUAAUGGGUCAGCGACUUAUUUUCAGUGGCGAGCUUAACCGAAUAGGGGAGGCGUAGCGAAAGCGAGUCUUAAUAGGGCGUCUAGUCGCUGGGAAUAGACCCGAAACCGGGCGAUCUAUCCAUGGGCAGGUUGAAGGUUGGGUAACACUAACUGGAGGACCGAACCGACUACCGUUGAAAAGUUAGCGGAUGACCUGUGGAUCGGAGUGAAAGGCUAAUCAAGCUCGGAGAUAGCUGGUUCUCCUCGAAAGCUAUUUAGGUAGCGCCUCAUGUAUCACUGUAGGGGGGUAGAGCACUGUUUCGGCUAGGGGGUCAUCCCGACUUACCAAACCGAUGCAAACUCCGAAUACCUACAAGUGCCGAGCAUGGGAGACACACGGCGGGUGCUAACGUCCGUCGUGAAAAGGGAAACAACCCAGACCGUCAGCUAAGGUCCCAAAGUUAUGGUUAAGUGGGAAACGAUGUGGGAAGGCUUAGACAGCUAGGAGGUUGGCUUAGAAGCAGCCACCCUUUAAAGAAAGCGUAAUAGCUCACUAGUCGAGUCGGCCUGCGCGGAAGAUGUAACGGGGCUCAAACCAUACACCGAAGCUACGGGUAUCAUCUUCGGAUGAUGCGGUAGAGGAGCGUUCUGUAAGCCUGUGAAGGUGAGUUGAGAAGCUUGCUGGAGGUAUCAGAAGUGCGAAUGCUGACAUGAGUAACGACAAUGGGUGUGAAAAACACCCACGCCGAAAGACCAAGGUUUCCUGCGCAACGUUAAUCGACGCAGGGUUAGUCGGUCCCUAAGGCGAGGCUGAAAAGCGUAGUCGAUGGAAAACAGGUUAAUAUUCCUGUACUUCUGGUUAUUGCGAUGGAGGGACGGAGAAGGCUAGGCCAGCUUGGCGUUGGUUGUCCAAGUUUAAGGUGGUAGGCUGGAAUCUUAGGUAAAUCCGGGAUUCUAAGGCCGAGAGCUGAUGACGAGUUACCCUUUGGGUGACGAAGUGGUUGAUGCCAUGCUUCCAAGAAAAGCUUCUAAGCUUCAGGUAACCAGGAACCGUACCCCAAACCGACACAGGUGGUUGGGUAGAGAAUACCAAGGCGCUUGAGAGAACUCGGGUGAAGGAACUAGGCAAAAUGGCACCGUAACUUCGGGAGAAGGUGCGCCGGUGAGGGUGAAGGACUUGCUCCGUAAGCUCAUGCCGGUCGAAGAUACCAGGCCGCUGCGACUGUUUAUUAAAAACACAGCACUCUGCAAACACGAAAGUGGACGUAUAGGGUGUGACGCCUGCCCGGUGCCGGAAGGUUAAUUGAUGGGGUUAGCUAACGCGAAGCUCUUGAUCGAAGCCCCGGUAAACGGCGGCCGUAACUAUAACGGUCCUAAGGUAGCGAAAUUCCUUGUCGGGUAAGUUCCGACCUGCACGAAUGGCGUAACGAUGGCGGCGCUGUCUCCACCCGAGACUCAGUGAAAUUGAAAUCGCUGUGAAGAUGCAGUGUAUCCGCGGCUAGACGGAAAGACCCCGUGAACCUUUACUAUAGCUUUGCACUGGACUUUGAAUUUGCUUGUGUAGGAUAGGUGGGAGGCUUUGAAGCGUGGACGCCAGUUCGCGUGGAGCCAACCUUGAAAUACCACCCUGGCAACUUUGAGGUUCUAACUCAGGUCCGUUAUCCGGAUCGAGGACAGUGUAUGGUGGGUAGUUUGACUGGGGCGGUCUCCUCCUAAAGAGUAACGGAGGAGUACGAAGGUGCGCUCAGACCGGUCGGAAAUCGGUCGUAGAGUAUAAAGGCAAAAGCGCGCUUGACUGCGAGACAGACACGUCGAGCAGGUACGAAAAGUAGGUCUUAGUGAUCCGGUGGUUCUGUAUGGAAGGGCCAUCGCUCAACGGAUAAAAAGGUACUCCGGGGGAUAACAGGCUGAUACCGCCCAAGAGUUCAUAUCGACGGCGGUGUUUGGCACCUCGAUGUCGGCUCAUCACAUCCUGGGGCUGAAGCCGGUCCCAAGGGUAUGGCUGUUCGCCAUUUAAAGUGGUACGCGAGCUGGGUUUAGAACGUCGUGAGACAGUUCGGUCCCUAUCUGCCGUGGACGUUUGAGAUUUGAGAGGGGCUGCUCCUAGUACGAGAGGACCGGAGUGGACGAACCUCUGGUGUUCCGGUUGUCACGCCAGUGGCAUUGCCGGGUAGCUAUGUUCGGAAUAGAUAACCGCUGAAAGCAUCUAAGCGGGAAACUAGCCUCAAGAUGAGAUCUCACUGGAACCUUGAGUUCCCUGAAGGGCCGUCGAAGACUACGACGUUGAUAGGUUGGGUGUGUAAGCGCUGUGAGGCGUUGAGCUAACCAAUACUAAUUGCCCGUGAGGCUUGACCAU
rnacentral:rRNA from 1 species